rnacentral:rRNA from 1 species
UACGUAGGGGGCUAGCGUUGUCCGGAUUUAUUGGGCGUAAAGAGCGUGUAGGCGGCCAGGUAGGUCUGCUGUGAAAACUCGAGGCUCAACCUCGAGACGUCGGCGGAAACCAUCUGGCUAGAGUCCGGAAGAGGAGAGUGGAAUUCCUGGUGUAGCGGUGAAAUGCGCAGAUAUCAGGAAGAACACCCGUGGCGAAGGCGGGACUCUGGGCCGAUACUGACGCUGAGGAGCGAAAGCGUGGGUAGCAAACAGG